UCCCUCCCUCUUGACGAACUGUGAUGGCAUUAAUUUGUUGUCGCAGGGAAUCAGGACUGUUACUUUGAAAAAAUUAGAGUGUUUAAAGCAGGCUUUCGCUUGAAUACAUUAGCAUGGAAUAAUGAAAUAGGACGUUUGAUCCUAUUUUGUUGGUUUCUAGGAUUGACGUAAUGAUUAAUAGGGAUAGUUGGGA
rnacentral:rRNA from 1 species